UACGGGGGGGGUAAGCGUUGUUCGGAAUUACUGGGCGUAAAGGGCUCGUAGGCGGCCAACUAAGUCAUACGUGAAAUCCCUCAGCUUAACUGGGGAACUGCGUGUGAUACUGGAUGGCUUGGAUGUGGGAGAGGGAUGCGGAAUUCCAGGUGUAGCGGUGAAAUGCGUAGAUAUCUGGAGGAACACCGGUGGCGAAGGCGGGUCUCUGGGCCGAUACUGACGCUGAGGAGCGAAAGCGUGGGGAGCAAACAGG
rnacentral:rRNA from 1 species